rnacentral:rRNA from 1 species
GACGAACGCUGGCGGCGUGCCUAACAUAUGCAAGUCGAACGGACCCGCAAGGGUCAGUGGCAAACGGGUGCGUAACACGUGAGGAACCUGUCCAACGGCGGGGGAUAGCCGGCCCAACGGCCGGGUAAUACCGCGUACGACCUUCGGGGGGCAUCCCCUGGAGGGGAAAGCAGCAAUGCGCCGAUGGAGGGCCUCGCGGCCUAUCAGCUAGUUGGUGAGGUCACGGCUCACCAAGGCUACGACGGGUAGCUGGUCCGAGAGGAUGACCAGCCAAAUUGGGACUGAGACACGGCCCAGACUCCUACGGGAGGCAGCAGUGGGGAAUUUUGGACAAUGGACGCAAGUCUGAUCCAGCCAUUCCGCGUGCAGGAUGAAGGCCCUCGGGUUGUAAACUGCUUUUGUACAGAACGAAAAGGCUCUGGUUAAUACCUGGGGCUCAUGACGGUACUGUAAGAAUAAGCACCGGCUAACUACGUGCCAGCAGCCGCCGUAACAC